GUGCUCACUUUGUCAGCAAAAAUACUAAAACUGGAACAAUACAGAGAAUAUUAGCAUGGACCCAGUGCAAGCAUGACAUGCAAAUCUGUGAAACGUUCCAUAUUUAA
rnacentral:snRNA from 1 species